AUGAGUAUUCUAAGGCGCGUGGAAGAACCCUGGUUAAGGAACUCUGCAAACUAGCACCGUAUCUUCGGUAGAAGGUGUGCCUACUUAGGUAUUAGGGAUUUACUCCCGAAAGCUUGAGAGGUUGCAACAAAGAGUCCCUCCCGACUGUUUACCAAAAACACAGCACUUUGCUAACUCGCAAGAGGAUGUAUAAGGUGUGACGCCUGCCCGGUGCUCGAAGGUUAAUUGAUGAUGUCAGCGUAAGCGAAGCAUUUGAUCGAAGCCCGAGUAAACGGCGGCCGUAACUAUAACGGUCCUAAGGUAGCGAAAUUCCUUGUCGGUUAAAUACCGACCUGCAUGAAUGGCGUAACGAGAUGGGAGCUGUCUCAACCAGGGAUCCAGUGAAAUUGUAGUGGAGGUGAAAAUUCCUCCUACCCGCGGAAAGACGGAAAGACCCCGUGCACCUUUACUAUAGCUUUACACUGCUAUUGGGAUAUUCAUGUGCAGGAUAGGUGGGAGACUAUGAUCUAUGGACGCAAGUACAUAGGGAGUCAUCCUUGAGAUACCACCCUUGAAUAUUCUGAUAGCUAACUGGGAACAAUUAUCUUGUUUCAGGACAAUGUAUGGUGGGUAGUUUGACUGGGGCGGUCGCCUCCUAAAAAGUAACGGAGGCUUACAAAGGUUGGCUCAAUCCGGUUGGAAAUCGGAUGUUGAGUAUAAUGGCAUAAGCCAGCCUGACUGUGAGACAUACAUGUCGAGCAGAGACGAAAGUCGGUCAUAGUGAUCCGGUGGUUCUGUGUGGAAGGGCCAUCGCUCAAAGGAUAAAAGGUACGCCGGGGAUAACAGGCUGAUCUCCCCCAAGAGCUCACAUCGACGGGGAGGUUUGGCACCUCGAUGUCGGCUCAUCGCAUCCUGGGGCUGAAGCAGGUCCCAAGGGUAUGGCUGUUCGCCAUUUAAAGCGGUACGCGAGCUGGGUUCAGAACGUCGUGAGACAGUUCGGUCCCUAUCUUCCGUGGGCGUAGGAAAGUUGAGGAGAUUUGCCCCUAGUACGAGAGGACCGGGGUGAACGUAGCACUAGUGUACCAAUUGUUCUGCCAAGAGCAUCGUUGGGUAGCUACCUACGGAUGAGAUAAG
rnacentral:rRNA from 1 species